AAAUUCAAAUUUUAGAGGAUCCAAAUCCGAAAAUAAAAAUUAGACUCAAUCAAUUUAUAGUUGCUUGGAGUAACAAAAUAUGAGGAUAAAUAUAUGUGCUUCAUUUUUGUAGCAAAAUGCUUAUUUGUCUCUGGUUCCCACCUAUGUAACCAAACAUACCCUUUUUAAUGGGGUUAAAAAAGGUUAGUAAAAGCUGAUGCAAGAUAUUUGCUUUGUUAUAGAGCAAUUUACUGGAAUGGAGCAUUAUGAAUUUUCUGUUACUGGAGUUGUAUCUCACUUUUAGCAUUAUGAAUUUUCUGUUACAAUGGCAUUACUUAAAUGCUAUGCAAGAUAUUAGUCACUGUAUGCAAGUUACUAAGAUAGUUGACAUUUAGUUUAGUUGAUUAUUACUUGUAACUUAAGUCACUAAGAUAGUUAAUUAGUUAGUUGGUGUAACAGUAUGCAAGUUAGUUUAUUGUAAAUGAAAAAAAUGGUGAGUGAAGACGAAAAAUGAAGCCCGAGAAACCAGAAGCUAUUGCCGGCUAGGACGAAGAGGCACUGCUUCUCGCGAGCCUCGUCGUUGAAGACACACUCGAUAGAGAUUUCAAACACAAGAAGCGCUCUGUCUUGAACUCUAAGACUCCACCAACCAAUUCAAGAAGGAAACGCAGGGCACAGAGUUCCCCAGAAUCGAUACGAGUGGCUGUUUUUGAUCUUGACGAAGAAGAGACUCCAAGAAAAGAUAGUGAGAAAAAGACUAAAGAAAAGAAGGCCACUGUAAACGAAGAGAGUAAAAAAGGAGGGAAGGAAUCCGGUGUUGCUGCACUUCCCUGCAUUUAUAAGCUCAGAGAUGAGCUUUCUUGCGCGAUUUGUUUGGAGAUAUGCUUUGAGCCAAGUACCACCCCUUGUGGUCACAGCUUUUGUAAAAGGUGCUUUCGAUCUGCUACAGACAAAUGUGGCAAAAAAUGCCCAAAAUGCAGGCAAUUAAUAGGGUAUGUAUAAUUUCUUUUCCUUCCUUCUUUUUUUACUUCACAAAAAUCUCAUAUCCUUAAUUAAUGUAAAAACUUGAAGAUUGAGCAUAGUUUAUUGACUUUCUUUAUGAAGUGAACAAUCAAAACAACUUAUGAUGCAAUAUGCAUCAGUCUCAUCUUGAUGAAAUGAGCAUA